rnacentral:lncRNA from 1 species
CUUUAUUGUCAUAUAAACAUGAUAAGUUAGUGACAAAUACAAAAAAACAGAAACAAUCCUUAAAAUUCAAAUAAAUUACAAUUCUAUAAGAAAUUAACACAUGAAAUAUAAUAGUGACCCUUUACUAUUUCUAAAUUACGGUCUAUAAUUAUUAACUUAGUGAAGCACUUUUUUUAAGACGCCAAAUUAAUCUAUCCACCUUAAGUUUUUAAUUUUAAUAAAGUAACAGUUUACAAUUUCAUCAUUACUUUUUAUUCUAUUUUUAAAACAUAUUUUUAUAUCUUUAAAUUCAAUUUUAAUCAACAGUUGUUAACUGUAUCUUUAAAGUUUAUUUUUUUUCUUAUUAUUUAUCUUUGCAGAAUUCAGAGUUUAGGUUCAAAAUUUUUUUAUUUUAAAAAUUGCACAUGUACAAUGAUGUAUGUAUUAUCAGGUAAAAUAUCUGUAUAAAU